rnacentral:rRNA from 1 species
AUUCCUACGGGAGGCAGCAGUGGGGAAUUUUCCUCAAUGGGGGAAACCCUGAUCCAGCCAUGCCGCGUGAGUGAAGAAGGCCUUCGGGUUGUAAAGCUCUUUCAGCCGGAACGAAACGGUCACGGCUAAUACCUGUGACUACUGACGGUACCGGAAGAAGAAGCACCGGCUAACUACGUGCCAGCAGCCGCGGUAAU